UAAUGUAUGGGGAUCUGCCGAAUGGAGGGGGACAACAGUUGGAAACGACUGCUAAAAAUCCGCAAUAAAGUUGAGAGACCAAAGCAUGGGACCUUCGGGCCAUGCGCCAUUUGAUGAACCCAUAUGGGAUUAGCUAGUUGGUAGGGUAAUGGCUUACCAAGGCGACGAUCUCUAGCUGGGUCUGAGAGGAUGACCAGCCACACUGGAACUGAGACACGGUCCAGACUCCUACGGGAGGCAGCAUGGGGAAUAUUGCACAAUGGGGGAAACCCUGAUGCAGCCAUGCCGCGUGUAUGAAGAAGGCCUUCGGGUUGUAAAGUACUUUCGGUGAUGAGGAACGGUGACAUAUCUAAUAGGUAUGUUAAUUGACGUUUAAUUACAGAAGAAGGCACCGGCGUAACUCCGUG
rnacentral:rRNA from 1 species